CGGAUGGGGAAGUGGGGGAGAUCUAGACUGUUAGAUCUCAAUUUGAUGGCUAGGAUUUAAAUAAUUGAAGGGGUAUUCUGGUUCUAAUCUGGAUUGUUCUCAUGAGAUCAACAACCAGGAUAUCAGGCCGAAAGGGGUACGCUUAAGGAUCUAAUCUCAUCCACAGGUGCACAAUCCAACGGCCCCCGUGCAUCUUCCCUAACACGAUUAGCCGAGGGCGGCACCACCGAGCCAACACCGCGGCGGGGCUCGCCAGCGAGUAUACGUCCACGCCACGGUGCAUCGAUUCCCACCCAAAGACUAUCGUACAUGUAGAGAACGGUACAACGAACAGGGUGGGCGACACCUUACCGACAAUCACGUAGUGAGGAUCCCCACCCACGGUGAGCGCGCGGUAUGACUGUGAUGCAUGAACGGCAACGAGCAAUUACAGCGACGUUGAUCAUAUUUGUGCUAGGCGGCAUCCCUGAACACGGUUACUGUCAUGGGGUGAUCACCCUGGGUCACCAAGCACGAUCCAAUUGGCCACGUGGCCGAGGACCCAAGGUGACGGCCCGCAGCUCCCUCUGCUUGGCCGUGAGGCGGCACCAAAUCCUCCCAUCUCCAUGUUUGUUCCAUUGACGGCACGCCGGACACAUCCACUAGGAUAGGGCUAGACCCCCCUGGCCGCGUGCUUGAUCUCGAAUGAGGGUGAUCCCUAGAAUUUGUUCUCAGCGGCUUCCUCUGCUCUCCUUUCUCGGAGCGCGUGA
rnacentral:lncRNA from 7 species